GACGAACGCUGGCGGCGUGCCUAACACAUGCAAGUCGAACGGGACCAGGGGCAACUCUGGUUCAGUGGCGGACGGGUGCGUAACACGUGAGGAACAUGACUUUCGGCGGGGGAUAGCCGGCCCAACGGCCGGGUAAUACCGCGUACGACCGGUUGGGGACAUCCCCGAUUGGUGAAAGCAGCAAUGCGCCGAAAGAGUGCCUCGCGGCCUAUCAGCUAGUUGGUGGGGUAAUGGCUCACCAAGGCGACGACGGGUAGCUGGUCUGAGAGGAUGGCCAGCCACAUUGGGACUGAGACACGGCCCAGACUCCUACGGGAGGCAGCAGUGGGGAAUUUUGGACAAUGGGGGCAACCCUGAUCCAGCCAUGCCGCGUGAGUGAAGAAGGCC
rnacentral:rRNA from 1 species